rnacentral:rRNA from 1 species
GCCUACGGGGCGCAGCAGUAGGGAAUUUUCGUCAAUGGGCGCAAGCCUGAACGAGCAAUGCCGCGUGAACGAGGAGGGUCUUCGGAUCGUAAAGUUCUGUUGAAGGGGAAAAAGAGCGGAGAGAGGAAAUGGUCUCCGAUUGAUAUUACCCUUCGAGGAAGUCACGGCUAACUACGUGCCAGCAGCCGCGGUAAUACGUAGGUGGCGAGCGUUAUCCGGAAUGAUUGGGCGUAAAGGGUGCGUAGGCGGCCUGCUAAGUCCGGAGUGAAAGGUACCGGCUCAACCGGUACAGGCUCUGGAAACUG